CCCAAAAAUAAUACUCCCAAACGCUCCAUUCAAAAGACGGUGUCCAGAUUGGGUUUCCAUGGUGGUAUUCACUAUUCAGGGCACUUACAAAACCAUUAUAUUUCGCAGGAAUAUUAU